GUGUUGGAUUUAAUUUGGGUUUCAAUUAUUAUAUUAUUCCCAAUUUUAUUCGAAACUACCAAAUUACCCCUAACCCUAAUUUUCAAAAUAAGGAAACCCUAACCCAGUAACCCGUUAACCGACCCGGUUCCCUUUUUGCCCACACUUAGCUCCCUAGCCCUCAGCAGCCGAAACCCUUCCCCCCAAAGCAACAGCACACAAAGUUUCCUUUGACUCCCUGAAAGAAAGAAACGAAGAAAGGGAGGAGGGAAACAAGAGAUCAGAGAAGUGGAGAGAGGAAGAGGAAGGACGGCGCCGGCGGGCAUCACUGCCGCCGCGCCGUCGUGUCGCCGUCGAAGGAGAGGAAGCCAUGGACCGAAGUCAUGGGUGGAAGAGAGAGCGCGAGACAGAGCCGCAACUGCUGGGUUGCCGUCCAGCCUCACCCCACCUUCCAGCCUUCAUCACCACCGCGUGCACGCCGUGCCGCCGCCUCUGUUCGUCACACCAUCACUCCUAGCCGCGCCGUCGCCAAGGAAUCAUCGUUGUCGAGGGAUCCCAGAGGAGAGAAACUGCGCGACAUUGAGGGAGGAAAGCGCGGGUCAGUGACGCGAGGAGCACGACCCGUUGCGCCGCCGUGUGCUAACGCCGUCGUCCUCACCGUGCCGCCAUCACCUUUGCCACCGAGACAGUCUCCGUCAUUUAUGGUAGAGCAGAGAGGGAGAGCUCGGGAGCAGAGCAGAUGCGAGAGAUCUGGGGCUGAGCUGGGAGUCCAGCCACCGCACCCGACCGUGCUUGCGUCGCCGGCGCCGCCUCCGUUGGAACCGCCGUGCUGCGCGAAGCUAACGCUUCCUCCGUCGGAAAAAGCCGCCAUUAGAACCCUUACUGAUUCGGUGAGCCUUUCCCCUGUUUCUGGUUCUGUCACAGCCUUUCUUGGAGGAGAAGUCAGUCGUGCCGCCAUGCCUGGCAGCCGGAAAACGCCAUUUACCGUCACCGAAAUACACUGCCGUGGUCAUCUGAGUCACGUGGAGGGAGGAAGGGCCGCUGGGUGUCGCCGUACCUUGCCUCCGCCGCCGAAAACAGCCGUUGAGUCCUCAGUAUCGGGUCGUGUAUCCAUGCUUGCCUUUCGUGCUCGGUGUUCGCAGCUGCCUUUGUCAUUUCAGUAAUGUUGCGAUGGUUAUUGUGAAAGUGGCUGGGAGCUGAGGUUUUGGUUGCCGUCGGUUCGGGUUGAGGCGGAAAGGACCCUGUGAGGCAUUUGGGUUAUGGAUUUGCAUUUCGAGGUGUUAGCUUUACAAGCCGAACUCUCAUUCUUACAAAAUCAUCUUGCUACAAUGGAGAUACGCCAACCGCCACCAAUUCCUCCAACGCAAGGAGUGCCGACAUCAACUGUUU